rnacentral:rRNA from 1 species
UACGGAGGGUGCAAGCGUUAUCCGGAUUCACUGGGUUUAAAGGGUGCGUAGGUGGGCAGGUAAGUCAGUGGUGAAAUCUCCGGGCUUAACCCGGAAACUGCCAUUGAUACUAUCUGUCUUGAAUACCGUGGAGGUGAGCGGAAUAUGUCAUGUAGCGGUGAAAUGCUUAGAUAUGACAUAGAACACCAAUUGCGAAGGCAGCUCACUACACGAAUAUUGACACUGAGGCACGAAAGCGUGGGAAUCAAACAGG